rnacentral:RNase_P_RNA from 1 species
AAAGAGGUCAAGAUGGCUGCUCUGAUGCCCAUGGCGUUGGAGAGGAAAGUCCGAGCUCCAAAGGAUAAUACAUCCCGGUAACGCGGGACAUAGCUUUAAGCUAUAGGAUUAGAGCUACAGUGACGAUACUUCCUUCAAGGAAGGGUGAAACGAGCAAUCUCUGCAUGGAGCAAUGCCAAAUAGGAGGCAAGCGUUUUUCAAAACGCACGGAGCUAUCCGUUCCGUCAUAGCCUCGGGUAGGCUGCAAGAUAUCCGCCAAAGGCGGAUGUUAGUCAAAUGGUCAUCAGCCCUAAUAGGGCUCACAAAACUCGGCUUAUUUGACCGCUUUUAUU